rnacentral:lncRNA from 1 species
AACUUGAGGCUGAAAAUGUUGGGGAUGAAUUUGAGGCCGAAAUGUUUGGGAUUUAAUUUAACCACUGAAAAUAUUUGGGAUGAAUUUGAGGGCUGAAAGUCUUGAGCCUGGAUUUUGCUCUCUGUAAAUAGACUCCCAAGCUGAGGUGUGCAGAGCAAGUGCAAAAUGAGGGGAAAAGGAGUGUGAGAAGCAUUUCAGGAAUCUCAGGUGGGGAGGAGGAGGGUGUGUUAGGUGGAUUUAUGGAAUUCCCAGGUGUGGAACGAGCAGCCAGGCUGGCUCUUGCCAGGGGGAGCUCGUCCUGCUCCAGGGCAGGGGAUUGCUCCUGAAAAACCCAGAAUUCCUGCAGUGCCUGUGCUUUCCUCUCUGCCAGGGCGUCCAUCCAACAUGUACUUCCAAACCCACGACCAGAUCGGGAUGAUCAGUGCUGGCCCCAGCCACGUCACUGCCAUGAACAUUCCCAUCCCCUUCAACCUCGUGAUGCCCCCGAUGCCACCCCCGGGCUACUUCGGCCAGGCCAACGGCCCCGCUGCAGGUAAAGGGGCAGAAACACCUGGGGAGCCCUCUGGGAGGGACCCCAUUCCCUAAAAAGUGAUUUUGUGCCUGUCCAGCAGCUCCCUGCUGGCUGCCAUGAACUCUUUUUUUAUUUUCCCCAGGCCGUGGGGCUCCCAAAGGGAAGACGGGCCGUGGCGGGCGGCAGAAAAACCGAUUUGGGAUUCCUGGCAGCAGCCAGUCCAACCUCCCCAACAGCCAGGCCAGCCAGGACGUGGUGUCCCAGCCCUUCUCGCAGGGCCCCCUGACCCAGGGCUACAUCUCCAUGAGCCAGCCCUCACAGAUGAGUCAGCCUGGGCUCUCCCAGCCCGAAUUAUCCCAGGACAGUUACCUUGGUGAUGAGUUUAAAUCCCAGAUUGACGUGGCGCUGUCACAGGACUCAACUUACCAGGGGGAACGAGCAUAUCAACAUGGUGGAGUGACGGGACUGUCACAGUAUUAGAGUGUAAGGCCCCCUGUCCCUCCUGAAUUUAUCUGUCCCUCCUUUAUCUUAUCUGUCCCUC